rnacentral:pre_miRNA from 1 species
GUUUUCCAUGGAGUUCCCUUGAGCGCUUCAAUAUGCAUAUGCCUAUACUAGCUUGAAUUGAUGAGAAAGCUAAGGGCAUUGCUUGCUUACUGAAGUGUUUGGGGGAACUCUGUGGACUAC